UACGAAGGGGGGCUAGCGUUGCUCGGAAUGACUGGGCGUAAAGGGCGCGUAGGCGGAGUGCUUUGUCGGGCGUGAAAUUCCAGGGCUCAACCUUGGGGGCUGCGUUCGAGACGGGUGCUCUUGAGUUUGGAAGAGGGUCGUGGAAUUCCCAGUGUAGAGGUGAAAUUCGUAGAUAUUGGGAAGAACACCGGUGGCGAAGGCGGCGACCUGGUCCAAGACUGACGCUGAGGCGCGAAAGCGUGGGGAGCAAACAGG
rnacentral:rRNA from 1 species